rnacentral:rRNA from 1 species
GUAUGGUUGCAAAGCUGAAACUUAAAGGAAUUGACGGAAGGGCACCACCAGGAGUGGAGCCUGCGGCUUAAUUUGACUCAACACGGGGAAACUCACCCGGCCCGGACACCGUAAGGAUUGACAGAUUGAUAGCUUUUUCAUGAUUCGGUGGAUGGUGGUGCAUGGCCGUUCUUAGUUCGUGGAGCGAUUUGUCUGGUUUAUUCCGAUAACGAGCGAGACUCUGGCCUACUAAAUAGUUGGCGCAUUGCUACUGUGCGCACUACACUUCUUAGAGGGAUUUUCGGUGUUCAGCCGCACGAAAUUGAGCAAUAACAGGUCUGUGAUGCCCUUAGAUGUCCGGGGCUGCACGCGCGCUACACUGGCAAAAUCAGCGUGCUUGUCCUUCCCCGAAAGGGGUUGGUAAACCCGUGAAAAUUUGCCGUGAUUGGGAUCGGACAUUGCAAUUAUUGUCCGUGAACGAGGAAUUCCUUGUAGGGGCGAGUCAUCAACUCGCUCUGAAUACGUCCCUGCCCUUUGUACACACCGCCCGUCGCUGCCCGGGACUGAGCCAUUUCGAGAAACUCGGGGAUUGUUGGUCUGUCAGCUCUCGGGCUGCCGUUCCGGCGAGAACCGAUUUAAUCGCAGUGGCUGAACU